AACGUAGGAGGCAAGCGUUAUCCGGAUUUACUGGGUGUAAAGCGCGUGCAGGCGGUCUGUCAAGUCGCGUGUGAAAGCGCCCGGCUCAACCGGGCGAGGCCGCGCGAAACUGACAAACUGGAGGCCGGUAGAGGCGUGUGGAAUUCCGGGUGUAGUGGUGAAAUGCGUAGAGAUCCGGAGGAACACCAGUGGCGAAGGCGACACGCUGGACCGAGCCUGACGCUCAGACGCGACAGCAUGGGGAGCGAAC
rnacentral:rRNA from 1 species